AGCCGAUCACCCUUUAAUAUGACACAUUGGACAAGGAGGAAGGGAGGGGGCCGGGGGAGCAGCUGUAAUUCCAGCCUCAGUAAUUCAGGAAGGGUCUGUCAGCUCAUGAGUCACCACGGGGGGAGCAGGAGGUUUCACCGCCGUGACACCACAGGGGACGCGUGCGACCCGUGGGCUUGGGAAGCGGCCUCUGGGGUCGUCUGGGAGAAGGAGGAGGAGAACUGAUGCUCUCUGAAGCUCCUGCUGCAGAUCUGGCUGUCAGUGAGAGGGAGAAUUGCUCGAGGGGCCGUCCCGAAUCGGUGGGACCUGAUUGAUGGGGAUUUCAUCUCUGCUGUGUCUUGCAUGAACAGGGGCUGGGGUUUGCCUCCAGGAGCUGUCACAUCUCUGGUUGUUGUCAUAUAAACAUCACCAGAGUGAGCUCUCAGGAUUACACGGGGCAGAGCCGUGUCCUUGCUUCCCCACAUCGCCGUAAAAUUGCUGCUGUAUUCAAAAUCCUCUUAUGUUUAUUACUUCCCCUUUAUUCCGUGAGAGAGGUGGGAGCUCUCCCUGCAUAAUCCACAGGCUGCUGCACCAGCCCUGUUGUCAAAUCCAGAUGAUUCCUGAGAAUUAAAGCCUCUGCCAGA